GACGAACGCUGGCGGCGUGCCUAAUACAUGCCAGUUGAGCGAUGAAGCUUGGUGCUUGCACCAAUUUGAAGAGCAGCGAACGGGUGAGUAACGCGUGGGGAAUCUGCCUUUGAGCGGGGGACAACAUUUGGAAACGAAUGCUAAUACCGCAUAACAACUUUAAACAUAAGUUUUAAGUUUGAAAGAUGCAAUUGCAUCACUCAAAGAUGAUCCCGCGUUGUAUUAGCUAGUUGGUGAGGUAAAGGCUCACCAAGGCGAUGAUACAUAGCCGACCUGAGAGGGUGAUCGGCCACAUUGGGACUGAGACACGGCCCAAACUCCUACGGGAGGCAGCAGUAGGGAAUCUUCGGCAAUGGACGAAAGUCUGACCGAGCAACGCCGCGGGAGUGAAGAAGGGUUUCGGAUCGUAAAACUCUGUUGGUAGAGAAGAACGUUGGUGAGAGUGGAAAGCUCAUCAAGUGACGGUAACUACCCAGAAAGGGACGGCUAACUACGUG
rnacentral:rRNA from 1 species